CCUACGGGUGGCUGCAGUGGGGAAUAUUGCACAAUGGUCGAAACACUGCACCAGCGACGCCGCGUGAGGGAAGAAGUAAUUAGUUAUGGAAAACUCUAUCAGCAGGGAAAAAAAAGACGGUACCUGAGUAAGAAGCCCCGUCUGACAACGUGACAGCACCCGCGGUAAUACGUAGGGGGCAGGCGUUAUCCGGAUUUCCUGGGUGUAAAGGGAGCGUAGACGGCAGUGUAAGUCUGGAGUGAAAGGCAGAGGCUCAACCCCCGGACUGCUCUGGAAACUGUACGGCUGGAGUGCAGGAGAGGUAAGUGGAAGUCGUGGUGUAGCGGUGAAAUGCGUAGAUAUUAGGAGGAACACCAGUGGCGAAGGCAGCUUACUGGACUGUAACUGACGUUGAGGCUCGAAGGCGUGGGGAGCAAACAGGAUUAGAUACCCUGGUAGUC
rnacentral:rRNA from 1 species